UACGUAGGGUCCGAGCGUUGUCCGGAAUUAUUGGGCGUAAAGAGCUCGUAGGCGGUUUGUCGCGUCUGCUGUGAAAUCCCGAGGCUCAACCUCGGGCCUGCAGUGGGUACGGGCAGACUUGAGUGCGGUAGGGGAGAAUGGAAUUCCUGGUGUAGCGGUGGAAUGCGCAGAUAUCAGGAGGAACACCGAUGGCGAAGGCAGUUCUCUGGGCCGUAACUGACGCUAAGGAGCGAAAGCGUGGGGAGCGAACAGG
rnacentral:rRNA from 1 species